rnacentral:misc_RNA from 1 species
CACCCCGCGGGAAUGUUCCUUUUCCCUUUCCUUAUUCAAUUCCUCUAGUUCUCUUCUUUCUCUUCAGUGGAAUUAUCGUAUCUCUCCUUUUUCUCUAGUAGUUUUGUUUUCUGCAGUUAUAGCGGUUGACGAAAUGCCUAAGCUCACCCCACAUUUGGUUUGCUGUUUAUAGGAACUGAAAAUGGAAAGCUAUCGUCAGGAUAAAAUACAUAAAUUUGAGGAAUUUGUUGAUCUUCGCUUGAAGCCUGAUCUCGUUAAAGCUAUUGCUGAAAGGUAAUCUAUUUUCGAUUACUUAGUCUUGGAUUAACAGUAUUUCACCAUUUUUAUUGAUUCAUUGAAUGAAUAAAAUUCUUUUGCUUCAGUUAUAAAAAAUUUGUAGCAUUGUUAUAUGAAAUCUGUUUUGAGAUUAGUAUGGGGUGUUUUAAUGAGGAACAUCAAUACUUCUCAUUCAUGCAACAUGCUUAUUUUGUUUAAUUCCAUGAUAUCAAUAGUUUGGCCCCUUUUAAAUUUACUCACAUGUUGUUUGGAUUCUUGAUGUAUUCCUUUGUGUUAGUUUGAAAAUGCUUUUGGUACUGCAUCUUGCUGGGGUAAUUGCAAUUUGUAUUUGAAGCUAAAUUUGGAGUAAUUUUUCAAAAUAUUAUCACGUUUGUGGGGGAAUGGAUGCAUAUUAUUAGUAUUUAUUAGUAAAUUCUGCUGGCAUUGAUUUUUCUCAAGAUUCAUAAAUUUAAAUGAGAAUGAUUGCCUGAAAAUAUAUGCUGCUGAAAGGAAAUGCUUAGCACACCGUUAUUUUGUAAGCAAUUAUAGUUUAAGCAAUGGCAAAUUCAUCUUGAUCUUUUUUCCUUUUCUUAUUUUGCAGGGACAAGGUCUUCGAGCAACAAAAGAUUUUGUAUCCUUUUCUUAUUAUGCAUGUUUCUGGAGCUUAAAUAGUUUGCUCCUCAUUUUCUUUUAUCUAAAAUUCUAUUGUGUUUUGCUUGAAUUUGCUCUUCUUCCCAAUUCUAAGAAUUGUCCUGCUUAAAUUUUUAUGUGAUAAGAGGAAUAUUCUGAGCAAUGGUUUUGUUUUCCUUGGCAUUUUAGUACCUUAUUUUGGCAUGGGUGAAAUUACUCUUUUGUGACCGGAUGGUUACAGAUUCUAUUGAAGAUGGUCUUCUCUCAAUCCUUGCAAAGUGGAAGAGCCUUGUGCACUUGAUACAUCUUUAUUUGGCACGGAUAUAUAGUUUCUCAAAACCAACCAAAGAUGCAGAACUUAAGCCACUAAUGCUUCCAUAAAAGAACUGUAGUUACAACACUUAAAUGUUUUUCCUUUCCUUUCUUUCAUUCUUUUUUAAUGUUAUAAUUUUCUAAUGGCAAGCAAUUUUUCUUUCAUGUGUUCUUUCUUUUUCUGAACUUGAGCUAUGGUUACAGCAGACUCGAUGAUCCUUGUUUCAACGUUUACUUGACUCUUUAUUUGUAGCUCAGAUUUGCGAAGGAACAUAGAAAAUUUGGAGAAAAAUAGUGUGACCAGUCUUAGGACAUUGAUUAACCUUGGCUCUGAAGUAUACAUGCAAGCUGAUGUACCAGAUACACAACGCAUAUUUGUGGACAUUGGAUUAGGAUUCCAUGUGGAGUUUACUUGGUCUGAAGCAUUGAAUUACAUAUCACUAAGGGAGGAAAAGAUAGCGAGGUAUACAAUUGCUCUCUGUUUAAUUAAAGUGGCUUUGUCUAAAGUUUGUGUUGACACAUGCACCCUCAAUGAAGAGGUUGCCCUCAAUGAAGAAGUUGCACAGAUGAAGACCUAAUAAAAGAAAGAUGACUUGCAGAUGUUUGGGGUCCAUUGCUACAACUACGAUAUGAUAUGGAUUUUGGAAUCAAAAUCUGUGCUACUAGCAUGUAAUGUGAUAUCUCUUUAGAAACGUCAACAUACUUUUCCCAGUAAAAUAGAGUGCUACUCACCAACUUUCACAUGAUAGUAGGCAAGUGAUGCGAGUAUAAUCAAAUUUGUGGACUAGUCUUGUGUCUUUGCUUCUGUAUCAAUUCUGGUGUAUCAUUUGCCUUGACAUAAUCCAGUUCUUCUUUGGAUGCAUUCAAGUUCUAUAUUUAUACCUAAAGAAUCUCUAAAUUAUAUUUGCAGGCAAAUAGAAGAUUACACUCGCCAAAUUGCAUCAAUUAAAGCUCAGAUCAAGCUGGUAUUUAUUUAUAAUGAUUUUUUUUCCUGCUUUUUUGCUCUUCCUUCCCUGUCCCUAAGUACCUACACACCCAAUCCCCUUCUUUCACGCGAUUUUCAUCUCAUGUUUGAUGUGCACCCUCAUCUACUUCCAGUUCAGUCCUUGUGCCAGGAUAUAUUAUCUUCAUUUAAGAAAGAGAAUCGCUUGGUUACUUGAAUUCCAGGGCAUUAAGAUUGCAACAUAACCUGUGCUGUGCAAUUAAAAAUUAAAUUGUGAACCCAAAUGCAUUUUGGUGAUUUUUGAAGAUAAAAGCAGUUUUAUGACAUGCCUUAGCUUCUUGCUCCUGACCAAUAUAAAAAAAAAGCGUUCUUGUUACAUUUCAGGAUUUUUAGUAAUAACAACGAUCUUGUUGGUUGCACACAGGUUUGUGAAGGGAUUCGGGAGUUGCUCCAAAUUCCAGCUGAGAAACCUUUACCAGGGCAUGUUUUUUAACAUUCAUGAGUUAAAUGUAUUCUGUAAUCACUUCCCUUUAUGGCAAAAUCUGCAUUUUCCAUGGGAAGAGAUUGGUGAGAAAGUAAAUUCAAGGGCUUAUUGAUGUAAAGGAUAAUAAAUAUAUAUGAAUCUUUGUUCAUUUUGACAUUUUGAUUGGUAUCAGACUCUGGUUAGAGUUGCUUGUGUAAACUUUAAGAUGAUAAAAGCUCAGAUCUGUUUAUCAACUUAUAUAGGAAGAUCAAAGUUGAAAUCAUACAAAUAUAACCAUGGACGAC